rnacentral:rRNA from 1 species
GGUUAAGCGACUAAGCGUACACGGUGGAUGCCCUGGCAGUCAGAGGCGAUGAAGGACGUGCUAAUCUGCGAUAAGCGUCGGUAAGGUGAUAUGAACCGUUAUAACCGGCGAUUUCCGAAUGGGGAAACCCAGUGUGUUUCGACACACUAUCAUUAACUGAAUCCAUAGGUUAAUGAGGCGAACCGGGGGAACUGAAACAUCUAAGUACCCCGAGGAAAAGAAAUCAACCGAGAUUCCCCCAGUAGCGGCGAGCGAACGGGGAGCAGCCCAGAGCCUGAAUCAGUGUGUGUGUUAGUGGAAGCGUCUGGAAAGGCGCGCGAUACAGGGUGACAGCCCCGUACACAAAAAUGCACAUGCUGUGAGCUCGAUGAGUAGGGCGGGACACGUGGUAUCCUGUCUGAAUAUGGGGGGACCAUCCUCCAAGGCUAAAUACUCCUGACUGACCGAUAGUGAACCAGUACCGUGAGGGAAAGGCGAAAAGAACCCCGGCGAGGGGAGUGAAAAAGAACCUGAAACCGUGUACGUACAAGCAGUGGGAGCACGCUUAGGCGUGUGACUGCGUACCUUUUGUAUAAUGGGUCAGCGACUUAUAUUCUGUAGCAAGGUUAACCGAAUAGGGGAGCCGAAGGGAAACCGAGUCUUAACUGGGCGUUAAGUUGCAGGGUAUAGACCCGAAACCCGGUGAUCUAGCCAUGGGCAGGUUGAAGGUUGGGUAACACUAACUGGAGGACCGAACCGACUAAUGUUGAAAAAUUAGCGGAUGACUUGUGGCUGGGGGUGAAAGGCCAAUCAAACCGGGAGAUAGCUGGUUCUCCCCGAAAGCUAUUUAGGUAGCGCCUCGUGAAUUCAUCUCCGGGGGUAGAGCACUGUUUCGGCAAGGGGGUCAUCCCGACUUACCAACCCGAUGCAAACUGCGAAUACCGGAGAAUGUUAUCACGGGAGACACACGGCGGGUGCUAACGUCCGUCGUGAAGAGGGAAACAACCCAGACCGCCAGCUAAGGUCCCAAAGUCAUGGUUAAGUGGGAAACGAUGUGGGAAGGCCCAGACAGCCAGGAUGUUGGCUUAGAAGCAGCCAUCAUUUAAAGAAAGCGUAAUAGCUCACUGGUCGAGUCGGCCUGCGCGGAAGAUGUAACGGGGCUAAACCAUGCACCGAAGCUGCGGCAGCGACGCUUAUGCGUUGUUGGGUAGGGGAGCGUUCUGUAAGCCUGCGAAGGUGUGCUGUGAGGCAUGCUGGAGGUAUCAGAAGUGCGAAUGCUGACAUAAGUAACGAUAAAGCGGGUGAAAAGCCCGCUCGCCGGAAGACCAAGGGUUCCUGUCCAACGUUAAUCGGGGCAGGGUGAGUCGACCCCUAAGGCGAGGCCGAAAGGCGUAGUCGAUGGGAAACAGGUUAAUAUUCCUGUACUUGGUGUUACUGCGAAGGGGGGACGGAGAAGGCUAUGUUGGCCGGGCGACGGUUGUCCCGGUUUAAGCGUGUAGGCUGGUUUUCCAGGCAAAUCCGGAAAAUCAAGGCUGAGGCGUGAUGACGAGGCACUACGGUGCUGAAGCAACAAAUGCCCUGCUUCCAGGAAAAGCCUCUAAGCAUCAGGUAACAUCAAAUCGUACCCCAAACCGACACAGGUGGUCAGGUAGAGAAUACCAAGGCGCUUGAGAGAACUCGGGUGAAGGAACUAGGCAAAAUGGUGCCGUAACUUCGGGAGAAGGCACGCUGAUAUGUAGGUGAGGUCCCUCGCGGAUGGAGCUGAAAUCAGUCGAAGAUACCAGCUGGCUGCAACUGUUUAUUAAAAACACAGCACUGUGCAAACACGAAAGUGGACGUAUACGGUGUGACGCCUGCCCGGUGCCGGAAGGUUAAUUGAUGGGGUUAGCCGCAAGGCGAAGCUCUUGAUCGAAGCCCCGGUAAACGGCGGCCGUAACUAUAACGGUCCUAAGGUAGCGAAAUUCCUUGUCGGGUAAGUUCCGACCUGCACGAAUGGCGUAAUGAUGGCCAGGCUGUCUCCACCCGAGACUCAGUGAAAUUGAACUCGCUGUGAAGAUGCAGUGUACCCGCGGCAAGACGGAAAGACCCCGUGAACCUUUACUAUAGCUUGACACUGAACAUUGAGCCUUGAUGUGUAGGAUAGGUGGGAGGCUUUGAAGUGUGGACGCCAGUCUGCAUGGAGCCGACCUUGAAAUACCACCCUUUAAUGUUUGAUGUUCUAACGUUGACCCGUAAUCCGGGUUGCGGACAGUGUCUGGUGGGUAGUUUGACUGGGGCGGUCUCCUCCUAAAGAGUAACGGAGGAGCACGAAGGUUGGCUAAUCCUGGUCGGACAUCAGGAGGUUAGUGCAAUGGCAUAAGCCAGCUUGACUGCGAGCGUGACGGCGCGAGCAGGUGCGAAAGCAGGUCAUAGUGAUCCGGUGGUUCUGAAUGGAAGGGCCAUCGCUCAACGGAUAAAAGGUACUCCGGGGAUAACAGGCUGAUACCGCCCAAGAGUUCAUAUCGACGGCGGUGUUUGGCACCUCGAUGUCGGCUCAUCACAUCCUGGGGCUGAAGUAGGUCCCAAGGGUAUGGCUGUUCGCCAUUUAAAGUGGUACGCGAGCUGGGUUUAGAACGUCGUGAGACAGUUCGGUCCCUAUCUGCCGUGGGCGCUGGAGAACUGAGGGGGGCUGCUCCUAGUACGAGAGGACCGGAGUGGACGCAUCACUGGUGUUCGGGUUGUCAUGCCAAUGGCACUGCCCGGUAGCUAAAUGCGGAAGAGAUAAGUGCUGAAAGCAUCUAAGCACGAAACUUGCCCCGAGAUGAGUUCUCCCUGACUCCUUGAGAGUCCUGAAGGAACGUUGAAGACGACGACGUUGAUAGGCCGGGUGUGUAAGCGCAGCGAUGCGUUGAGCUAACCGGUACUAAUGAACCGUGAGGCUUAACCUUAC